rnacentral:rRNA from 1 species
CAGCCGCCACGGUAAUACGUAGGGUGCGAGCGUUAAUCGGAAUUACUGGGCGUAAAGCGUGCGCAGGCGGUUAUAUAAGACGGAUGUGAAAUCCCCGGGCUCAACCUGGGACCUGCAUUUGUGACUGUAUAGCUAGAGUACGGUAGAGGGGGAUGGAAUUCCGCGUGUAGCAGUGAAAUGCGUAGAUAUGCGGAGGGACACCGAUGGCGAAGGCAAUCCCCUGGACCUGUACUGACGCUCAUGCACGAAAGCGUGAGGAGCAAACAGGAUUAGAUACCCCGGUAGUCCCUGUCUCUUAUAC